rnacentral:rRNA from 1 species
AACGAACGCUGGCGGCAUGCUUAACACAUGCAGGUUGAACGCAGAAUAGGGCUUCGGCUCUAUUGCUGAGUAGCAAACGGGUGAGUAACGCGUGGGAAUCUACCUUCUUGUGGGGAUAACUAAGGGAAACUUUAGCUAAUACCGCAUACGCUCUACGGAGGAAAGGCUUCGGCCGCAAGACGAGGAGCCCGCGUCAGAUUAGGUAGUUGGUGGGGUAAAAGCCUACCAAGCCAAUGAUCUGUAGCUGGUCUGAGAGGAUGAUCAGCCACACUGGGACUGAGACACGGCCCAGACUCCUACGGGAGGCAGCAGUGGGGAAUAUUGGACAAUGGGGGAAACCCUGAUCCAGCAAUGCCGCGUGAAUGAAGAAGGCCUUAGGGUUGUAAAGUUCUUUCACCUGUGAAGAUAAUGACGGUAGCAGGAGAAGAAGCCCCGGCUAACUCCGUGCCAGCCGCCGCCGUAA